ensembl:lncRNA
GUAAAGUGAAAUCCCCGAGAGAGGAGCCCCUCCAUUCAACAGCCGGCUAAUGGGAGGUCAGAACAGGAUCCUUGUAUCUUGUAACGCUUGAGCGGUAGUCAUAUGCUUCCGCCAUAGUGACUCAUAAAGUUGAAAAGAACUGUGACUAAUAUGACUCAAUGUGUAAACAUAAUGGACAAACCAAAGCGCAUUGAAAAUCUCCCUUCUGUUUAAUCAAGGAGCAGCAAGGACCCAGUGACAGUUGUGUUGGCAGAGGGGAAUGAACUGACCUACUUUUAUAAUGAUGGAGUCUUGAUGGAGCUGAAGCAUAAAUAAAUGAAUAUAUUGAGUUUACAGAUUGGGUAGUGGCCUCUAUAGAGAAAACACAGGGUUAUGAAGAAACCGUAGGAGGAACAAUGGCUCGAAAAAGGACACCCGUCCUCCUCUGCUCGACUUGGAACUCAAUUUGUCCUCCUGCACAGUUUUGGCAAGAAAAAGCCAUCUGAAGGCAUAAAUAUACAUUGAGCAUCAGUCUGUGGUUUAUGGCAGAGAACCUACGCAACAAACAACAAACGUCUACGUAUUACAGCAAAAGCCUACGCUAAAAGGAAAUCGCACACUUAUACGUAGAUAUGUUUAUUUGUGUUGCCAUUGUGGGCCGCUCUCACGCUGAACUACAGGCCUGAGAGGAAGUUUCCAGUGCGGUUACCAUGACGAGGGUCUUGGAGUACAGGAAGUUCAGUGCUAAGAGAAAUGACAUCCGAGAGGGACCCAGACAAACAUUUGUCCAGAUGAACUGGGGUAACAGGAUUGUGUUUGGACAGGAGCUUCUCUCCGCAGGGAACAAGGCAAAACAAAGAAAAGCCCCCUCGGCUGGAGAGAGAGAGAGGGAUGGAAUGAGAAAGAGAGCUAGUGAAACAGUGAGUCAUGAGUGCAGCUUUGAACAACAAGGGGAAAUCCUCCUAUUGAGAGGCAUGUGCUAUGGAAACACAUCACUCAUAGAGGAUCAGACCUGAGGUGAUUCCCUGUGUUUUUGGAGGGCUUUGGUUUAAAGAUGAGCUUUUGAAACACUCUGGAAUCCUUGUCAGGACGUUUUCUUGCUUCCUACUGAACAGCCUCAGGACACAAGCUUAACAUGCACUGACGUGUGUGUUCAACCCUCCUACAGAUGUUGCAACUUUUGUUCUUAGUGUUCAUAAUAUUAAGUGUGUGAAAUUUAAUGGUUGACGAUAAAGAUUUUAAAAACACAUUUGCUUACUGAAACAUUUUUUCUGUGAAAUGUGAUCUGUUUCAGCCACAGACCCUUAAGAAUUAUCAAGUUGUUUGACUGAAACUUAAACGUGAAACUAACUGGGAGCAGUUUCUUUUUCCAGAUCUCGUCUCUUUUGUAAUAGUCUCGCUUUCGCCGCUUUCGUCUACAACUUCAGAUUGGAUCAGGGGCCAGUUGUGUAGAUGUCAGCACAUUUACAUGUUAGACUGGAUGCUGAAUUCACAAUGCAGACUGUCAGGAGACAAACUUUGCUUAAAUUCUUUCCAAAGCAUCCAUGACCCAACAGGUUUAAGCACAAAAGAUAAAAGGAGAGUAAGCAAUGGAGGUCCAAAACCCGUUUUGACACUUGUUGCAAAACCGUCAGUGCUCAGCCUGGACUUGCUUCUUUUUCUGAGGGAAGCGAUAAAGGUCACCAGAAGUCCAAAUGCUGUAUUAUUACAAUUUAAACAUGUUUAAAAUAUACUUUAUUCCUGUCAUGACAAAGCUGAUUUUUCAGCAUCAUUACUCCAGUCAGUUCAGUGUCACAUUCAAUUCAAUUCAAGUUUAUUUGUAUAGCGCUUUUUACGAUACAAAUCAUUACAAAGCAACUUUACAGAAAAUUAAGUUUCUACAAUAUUUAGUAGUAGCUUAUCAGUGGUGAUUGUCAGUUCAUGUGCAUAUAGCAGAAAUGUUCAGAAAAAUCAAUAAGAAGACGUAAACAAACAGACGAUUAACACUAUUAACAGCAAUUAUGCAAUCAAACUUAUAGCAAAAUGUGGUAGUUCUGUAUGUUGUCUCUGGGUUAGCAUCAUCUGAGGUCCUCUGAGGGGCUGGCAUCAUCUCUUCUCAGGUGUUCUGGAUCCAGACUGGAGCUUGUGUAAAUCCUAGUUACCACGGGAUGUAAAUCCCACAUGAUCCUUCAGAAAUCAUUUUAAUAUGCUGAUUUGCUGCUCAAGUGCUUAUUAUGAUCAAUGUUGAAAACAGUUGAGCUGCUUCAUAUUUUUUUUUAAACGUUUCAUUUUUUCCUGAUAAAUAGAUAGAAAAUGAAAGCAUUUAUUUUAAAUUGAAAUCUUUCAUCAUUUUAUAAUUGGCACUUUUGACAAAUGUUUGCUGCAUAAAAGCACUAAUUUCUUUAUUGAAAAAUAUCUCUAAAUAGGCACCAUUUAUCAAAUACAAAAAUAUUUUUAGACAUUUUAUUUAACAUUAAAUUAAUUGUACAUCUGUGCUGCUCUUCAAGAGCCAACUAGGACAGUGAGUCAAAUAUUUACCCACAGUGCCUGUGGCAUCAUUUUUGAAUACUAGUAUGAAUUUGACUUUCAAAUAUUCAUUCAGAUAAUGGCUUAAUUUUAAUUUAAUUUAACGAGAAAGGAUGGGCCCUUUGACGCAUAUGGUGGGAAAAGAGAGAAAGGCAUUAAACCAAAUCAGCAGUUUUUACCAAUCACACUAAAGUAUAUGGUUUAUGCUUCAUAAUUUGGUUCGCUAUAAAACAAGUUUUAAGCAUAAAGGUUCAGUUAUGGGUUUCAUGUGGGGCAAGUUUGUGCUCAGUGUUUCAAUGCGGUAACUCCUACACUUCAGUGUUUUAUUGACCCACUGCAAUCAGGGCCUUUAGACUUUCAACAAAUGUCAACCCUGCCACCCCCUCACCUUGACCCAAAUUCCAUCACUCAAACAUUCCUGCUUUUCUUUAAAGGUUUUAUUCUUGUGCAACUCUGUGUGUGCCAGCAAUUUCUCAGGUGAAGAAACCACACCUUGAAAUCGUUAAGUUGAUGUUAUUCUGAUGUGAUUAUCUGCAUUGUGCCAGUAGAAAAAAGAUCCAAACAACAUGUCAUCUUGCUCAUUCUUUAUUACUUUAUAAAACAAAGUGCAGUUGAAGAUGAACAGAACCUUUUUUUUUUUUCAAAAACCUGCAAAUGAACCAAGAAGAAAAAGCCUAAAUAAUUUAUAAUACAUAAUUAAAAGGUGGUAUUUACAUGAAAAAAAAAAACAAAAAAAAAACAUUCUAUACAGUUGCCAUUAUGAAGGCAAUAAAAUAGCCAGGUUUCUUCCUGGUAGAGGUAGA